rnacentral:rRNA from 1 species
AGAGUUUGAUCCCAGCUCAGGAUGAACGCUAGCGGUGCGCCUAACACAUGUAAGUCGUGCGAUCGAGCCGAACUGAGUCUCCUUCGGGAGGCGAUGAUUGGUGACGGAGCGGCGGACGGGUGAGUAACGCGUGGCUAACCUACCCUCUUGACGGGGACAACCACUCGAAAGGGUGGCUAAUACCCGAUAUUGAUUGGAACCGAUGGGUUCCUCUCCAAAGGCGGUCCUGCCGCCGCGAGGGGAUGGGGCUGCGUCCUAUUAGCUAGUUGGUGAGGUAACGGCUCACCAAGGCUUCGAUGGGUAGCUGGUCUGAGAGGACGGCCAGCCACAUUGGGACUGAGAUACGGCCCAGACUCCUACGGGAGGCAGCAGUGGGGAAUCUUGGCCAAUGGACGAAAGUCUGAGCCAGCGACACCGCGUGGGGGAUGACGGCCUUCGGGUUGUAAACCCCUUUUCUGGGGAAAGAAUAAGGACGGGAGGAAAUGCCCGCCCGAUGACGGUACUCCAGGAAUAAGCAUCGGCUAACUCUGUGCCAGCAGCCGCGGUAAGACAGAGGAUGCGAGCGUUAUCCGGAAUUACUGGGCGUAAAGGGCGUCUAGGCGGUUCGGUAAGUCGUUUGUGAAAUCCCUUGGCUCAACCGAGGAGAGUCUUGCGAUACUGCCGGGCUUGGGUGUAGGAGAGGAGGGUGGAACUCACAGAGUAGCGGUGGAAUGCGUAGAUACUGUGAGGUACCCCGAUGGCGAAGGCAACCCUCUGGCCUACUACCGACGCUGAAGCGCGAAAGCGUGGGGAGCAAAGGGGAUUAGAUACCCCCGUAGUCCACGCCCUAAACAAUGUUCACUUGGUGUCGGCCGCUUAUACUGGUCGGUGCCGAAGCUAACGCGUUAAGUGAACCGCCUGAGGAGUACGGCCGCAAGGCUAAAACUCAAGAGAAUUGACGGGUCCCUGCACAAGCGGUGGAGCACGUGGUUUAAUUCGAUGAUAAACGAAGAACCUCACCCAGGCUUGACAUACUAGUGGUAGAAACCUGAAAGGGGGCCGACCCUGCCUUCGGGUAGGGAGCUAGUACAGGUGAUGCAUGGCUCGUCAGCUCGUGUCGUGGGAUGUUGGGUUCAGUCCCGAAACGAGCGCAACCCUUGUCGUUAGUUGCCAGCGGGUAAUGCCGGGGACUCUAACGAGACUGCUGGUGAAUAGCCGGAGGAAGGCGGGGAUGACGUCAAGUCAUCAUGUCCCUUAUGCCUGGGGCGACACACAUGCUACAAUGGGGGGUACAAAGGGUCGCAAUCCCGUAAGGGGGAGCCAAUCCAUAAAAACCCCUCUCAGUUCGGAUUGAGGUCUGCAACUCGACCUCAUGAAGCCGGAAUCGCUAGUAAUCGCGGGUCAGCCAUACCGCGGUGAAUAUGUACUCAGGGAUUGUACACACCGCCCGUCACACCAACCGAGUGGGGGGUACCUGAAGUCGCUCUUCUAAGGGCGCCUAGGGUAACUUCCGCAAGAGGGGUGAAGUCGUAACAAGGUA